UACACAAAGCAUCUCUUGUUCAAUGUGAGACUGUUAAACAAUAUUGUUGGACAAUGUAAUAAAGAUGUUGUUUCAUCAAGAAACUUUCACGGAUAGCAUAGAAAUAGUGUAUCCUCUGGAUACUUUCAAUUAGAGCUUGGUGUAUUAUUGUGUAUCAAGAAACUUUCACGGAUAAUCAAGCUUGGUUUUUCUCCAAUGGACUUAUUUUUUUAGUUCAUAUGAAGUAAAAAUAUCAGUCGAGAGAAUGAAGGUGGGUGAAAAACACAAGAAAUAGGGAUUUAAAUUAAUUUGUGUUUUAGGAUUUGAAAAGUUUUUAUUUGAACAAUCAUUUCGUUUAAGGUAGCUCUUUAUUUGUGUUUUAGAUUAAGAAAUAUGAGAUUUUUUGUGUCCCAUAUUUAUAGAGAAGGUAAUGCUUAUGCAAAUGGCCUUGCAAACCUAGGUCUUACUUUGCCUUCCUCUGAAUUAUUUUGGUCAGAUAUUAUCUUUAAUUUCAUUAGGGGAGAGUAUAUUAGGAAUGGGUUGGCAAUGUCCAAAUUCAAAUUUAACACCUUUUAAAAAGGUUUUGGUAUAAUCCCCCUUUUCUUUUUUUUUUACUCUUCUUUGGUUAUCUAUUGAAUGAUGCUCUUUGCAUCAGUUUAUAAAAAA
rnacentral:lncRNA from 1 species